ACAAACUUGGUUUUAUUUUAAAUUCCUCAAGUAAAUCAAAUUAAUAAUAAUCAAUAAGAAGGCAUAUGCCAAUACAAAUACGUGAAUUUAUAUAUGUACAUAUGCGCAUAUACAUACAUAUAUACGCUCACUUAAGUAGGAGAGAGCAAGAUGUCGAACGUUGCCGUUCGUUUGCUUUGUUUGCUUUGUCGUUCCUUCCGCGCUUUCGCUUGCAGUUCAUUCAAUGCAAUGAGCAAGGUAACUACAUAUGAGCAAGGUAACACUAAAGAGCAAGGUAACACUAAUGAGCAAGGUAACUACAUAUGAGCAAGGUAACGACACAUUUUUUCGUGCGUGCAGCCUGUUAAAUCGAAUUAUAAGACGUUAUCACGUCAAAAAAAA